rnacentral:misc_RNA from 1 species
CCAAAAAUGGGAUACUCAAAAUCAUACUUGAGAGAAUAUAAUGAGGCCCCCUUGGGACUCGAACAAAUUUACACUCUUUAUCAAGCCCACGUAUUGAGAGGAGCCAUACAAUAAACUAAAACAAAUAAAACAGAGAAGAAAAUAGAAAACCUUUAAAAGGCUCAUUGUCUAGUUCUAAGGCUGCUGCCAAUCACACACUGUCAUACUAAAUCGAAGGCUUUGUCAUUGAAAAUAAUAACAAUCAGCAUAUAUAUGAAUUUCAGAUAGAUAUGGUGAGCAUAGGUGAAAUUUCCAUUCCACUCUAAUCCCUGAAUGAAUCCUUGAAAGAGAAGAGUUCAAAUUAAAUUGUAAUAUGAGGCACCAUGACCAUUGGGCAAGCCAACAAGGCAAACUCAGAAAAUCAUCUCCUGUCCCAUGUCCCUGAAAGGGAAAUACUCACAGUUGAGCUCUUCCUCCUUCCCACUUCCGCUGCACUUUACAAUGUUAUCAAUAUCAAGCAUUUCACAUAAGCGUAUAUUACUUGUACUUAAAACCUAGAUUUUACAUCAUCCAUUUCAAAGAAAAUGAAGCAAAAAUGAGUAGACAUCAAACAAAUAAACUGGGGGCAAUAAAUAAAUUCUAAUUUCUUCCUAUAAGUUAUAACUUAAAAACAGCAAAACAAAAAUAAAAUCAAAGAUUGGAUUGAACAUAAUAGAACAAUACCUCGAAACAAGCCAAUUUUUAUUUUCUUAUUAAUAGACUCGCUAGGUCAAGAGGACCGGGAAGGGCAACACACCCACAAAGAUAGAGACCCCUGCCCACUUCGUUAACAAAAAAAUUAGCCGCAACACCUAGUAUGGGAGACCUAAUCGAGACCUUUUUGAAGGCUAGUGAUGGUGCUUUGGGAAGGGUUUCAUUGGAAGGAGGAGGAGAAGUAGAAACAGAAAUAAAGAAAAAGAUUUUUUUUCAAAGUUUUUUUCAAAAAUGGUGUUUGAAGAUAGUGCAAAGAAGAGGAAGGGAAGGUUUCCAUGAGAUGGUUAUGAGAGGAAGAGAUUUUAAUGACUGCCGAGUGCUCAAAGAGAGACAGAGGAAGAACUUAGAGAACAUUAGCUGAAUAUGGGCG